UACGUAGGGUGCAAGCGUUGUCCGGAAUUAUUGGGCGUAAAGAGCUUGUAGGCGGUUUGUCGCGUCUGCUGUGAAAUUUCGGGGCUCAACCCCGGACUUGCAGUGGGUACGGGCAGACUAGAGUGUGGUAGGGGAGACUGGAAUUCCUGGUGUAGCGGUGAAAUGCGCAGAUAUCAGGAGGAACACCGGUGGCGAAGGCGGCUCUCUGGACCACAACUGACGCUGAGGCGCGAAAGCUAGGGGAGCAAACAGG
rnacentral:rRNA from 1 species